CCAGCCACAUCUCCACACACAAGAACUUCCAAACGCCUAAACCUCAGUGGCCAAGUGUUCCUCCAGGCCCGCCUCCCCCAGGAGCUUGCUACAAGUGCCAGAAAUCUGGCUACCAGGCCAAGGAAUGCCCACAGCCCAGAAUUCCUCUUAAGCCACGUCCCAUCUGUGCGGGACCCCACUGAAAAUCAGACUGUUCAACUCACCUGGCAGUCAUUCCCAGAGCCUCUGGAACUCUGGCCCAAGGCUCUCUGACUCCUUCCCAGAUCUUCUCGGCUUAGCAGCUGAAGACUGACACUGCCCGAUCGCCUCGGAAGCCCCUUAGACCAUCACGGAUGCCGAGCUUCGGGUAACUCUUACAGUGGAAGGGACACACAUGACAUUUGGUGCCAAAACCUGGACAGGAAGACUCCUUCAGGAGACUGGUACCCUGUCCUCGUCAUCACUCCGUGAGGCAAUCCACCUAUGACCUUGGGUCCUCAGACCCACCAGCCCAAGGAACAUCUCACCAAUUUCAUAUCGGUUAUGUCUAUUUUUAAAGAAAACUGGAGCUGCCUAUAAUGCUUUAUUGGACAAAUAAUACUUCACUGUGAAACCUUUCCCCAACCACAGCCUCCACGAGAGCAUCCAACAAUGAAAAAUGAACAUUGACUCUCGUGGCAGCAGGGGGAAUUGAUUGGAGUAAGAAGAGCUGUGAGCCAGAGAAUGAAUUCCUGAACCAGCCCAAGAAGUUCCAGUGACAGAUGGGAGAGGACACCUUCAUACAGCAGUAAAUUUUUGGCCAUUCUCCUUCCUCCUGUGUUGCUGGGUGGGUCAGCACAAUGAGUGGUAGGAGUACUUCUGGAAGCCAUUCCUACAGCAGGGAUGCUAGCAAUUAUGAAACCAUUCCUAGAAGUGUCUGAAAACCACAACAUAUUCCAAUAAACCAAAAAUGAAGUAUUUCCAACUCAGUUGCCCCUUAGUUGGAUUCCAAACAUGCUUUGUGGUCACCCUUACAUUACCCAACACGAAGGGAAGUGUGAUGGAGCAGCAAUCACUGUGGAGACAGUCAUCUUAACUGAUGGUGAUUCUAACUUUUGAAAGUUUUAGAAAAACAUAUAUACAUGUGAACACAUUGGCAGGGACUCUCUCAGAGCUUGGGAAGGAGAUCCAUGCACAGAAGGGGCUUCCGGUUUAUACUAUGUUAGCUUAUGGUGAACAUGUCUCUAGGAAAUAGAGCCCACUUCUGGGGACUGGUUGGAUAUGAAUGAAGGAUGAGAGAAACAGGAAUCUAGGAAGUCUGGCAGAUUUUUCUAGCUUGUAUUCCAUGUUGAAUGAUAAUAUGGUAAACAACAACAACAAAAAAUAGAAUGACCACUUUUCAGGCUUGAUUGUCCUAUUUUUAGUAUUAAAAAUCUCACAUUCUGGGGAAACACCUCUUCAGGAAGCAAAAAUCUCAGUUUUUAGGUAAGGAAGGUUGCAGGGAAGUGCCAUACUGAAAAGGCAGCCCCAAAAAUAGUAACUGAAAGAAAGCCGUUUUUAGUGUCAAAUGAAUACCAGUAUAGAUUAUCUGUCUUUCAUAGUUGUUGCCGUUUUUACCUCUGAUCACUAAUGUUUGCAGCUAUGAUUGGCAGUUCUCCAAAAUGGUUCAUGCUUGGUUGGAUCACUCCAAGUGACACAAUUUGUGUGAAACCUUAGUGCACUGUAAUCACGAACAUUAACAAUCUGUCUUUGGCUUUGCCCGUGGAUUAACUUUUGUGCUUUGUAUUGAGAUACUGCUUGUGAAAAAAAACAAAGACAAUCCAAAUAAGAACAAACAGAGGCCAUUUAAUCAGAGCUUGAUAAAGCAAGGGAGUCAGCCACCAUCACUUGCAUUUGGUAGACUCAAAGGCAGACAAGGGAGCUUUGUAGUGGAUAAAAGGGGAGACUUCAGUUAUACCUUGAUAAGAGGUUAUUGGCACAAAGAAGCUGGAAGUAAAUUAACUAGCAGUUGGGCAUAGUAUAUAAUUGGUUUGGGAAGUAUAUUUGGCUCUCUCUGAUUGGUGCUGAGGUGGAAGUCAGGGCAAAAAUUAGGAAAGUUGGCAGUGAAUGACUAAGUCUUGACAAUUCUGGGCUGAUUCCUGCGGAGCUUUUGGAUUAAAAUUCUAUUGUCUUAUAUGGUCUGACCCUUUUCUAUUUGUACAUUGUCCCUCAAGACAGUUUAAUUUUAACAUUGUAAAUUUUAUGACCAUAUUUUCCAAGAACCUAGAUAAUGAAAAUAAAAGCAAUUACAAUACCAACACCAGUAUUACCCAUAUAUCCCCCUAAAAGAAGGCUUAAUAACUUUGUUACAUUAAUGGCAAAUGGAAAAACACAUACAGCUGCAUUAAGGAAAUAAAUAACCAAAACAAAUUAUUUUGCAGAUUAUGCAAAAAAUAAUUUGGGAUUGGGAAUGGUGGAGUAGGGGAUGGGGAAACAUAAGGUUAGCAUAAGACAGGUAAGUACUGCUAAAUCAUUCAAAAGUUUUUAUUUUUAUUUCCCCCAAAAUACCAAUGGUCAGUUGAAAACAGUGGCCACUGAAUUACCUUAGGCAUAUCCCAGUAAUGAACAUGCAUUAUCAUAUUAUUCCCUUGAUGGUUGUAUGAAACUGUGUUAAUUACUUGGCCUGAUUCAGAAGUUGCAUCUAAAAUGUCCUGUUGGGGAAAAAAUAGGGGAUUUUGAUAACAGAUGCAUUGGCCUCUUAUGGGGUAGAUCUGAUUCUGUCAGAUCUUAGCAAAGAUUAUGUUUUCUACAGUGGGUCAAGGGAGGUGCAUGGAAUCACAGUAGUAACAAAAUGUUUCUUUUAGUACAUAGACACUUUAAUUUGAAAAAUUAAGUUUCAAAUAGUGUUCUUAAUUUGUAUGAAUAUUUUAAUGAAACUUUGGAAAAGACUUGCUCCUAUAUCCACAUAUUCAGUAGACGAUGAAAAUAAAAAUGUUGGCAAAUUCCAUUCAGUCAGUAAACUCCUUAUCAAAGAAAGUAAAAAGAUCUUGCCAGCUAAAUGUCCUCGUUACCUUCUACAACAUGUAGAUUAAAAGGUGUGUGAUCUGCUUGCGUGCCAUAUUAGGGCUUUCAUAAUGAAAGUUUUUGGUCAUUUUUAGUGUCCUCAAAUAUGAAGAAGCACAUAAUUAUAUUUUUGAUUGUAUAGGUAUAGAAGGAAAUAGCUUCAUUAGGCAUGUGCCUAAAAGAUGGCUAUCAUUGUUGCUUGACAUGGAAAAGAUAUUAAAAUGGUGGCCUUCCAUAAAAUUAUAAUUUCCAACUGUGGAACAAGAAAAAAAUCCUUCUCUAAUUUGGAGACAUAUGAGAGUAAAAAUAGAUAAAAGGAUUACAGUAAAGCAGAAAUGUAUAUGCUGUUUCCUAAAAAUAUUUGAUAAUCUUUGACAAGACCAUAAGGCAACUAGAAAAAGAUGAACUGACUACACCUGAGUUUUGUAAGGUUACAUGUAGGUUGCAA
rnacentral:lncRNA from 1 species